rnacentral:misc_RNA from 1 species
AAAGUCGUAACAAGGUUUCCGUAGGUGAACCUGCGGAAGGAUCAUUAUAGUGGUGUGAGGGGGGGGGUGAGUGGGAGAGGAGAGGAGAGAGGAGAGUUGGGGAGGAGGAGGCGACUCUUUUUCCCCUCUUGACCGCUCCCCUCCUCUCUUGACCCCUCCCGACAUUUGCGCUUGUAGUGUCUGACAGACCAUCACGAUCAAUAAUAUACAUGGAACAACUUUUAACAAUGGAUCUCUUGGCUCUU